AUGGGAUUGAUACAUGCAUCAGCCGCAGAUUUUCGCAACCAGACCAUCAAGCACGGUAUACGCUUACCACGCUUAACACAUUUUACGAAUUAUAUACAAAAAUUGUACAUAUUAACAGAUUUACGAAUUAUAUACAAAAGGAAAAAUACUAAGGAAAUAAUUAAUUUACAUACUUAUAUUACAAAUUAUGUACAGAGGAAUGCGAAGGAUGCCUCGAGUUAGGAAGGAAUGCCUGCGAACAAAAAACAAACAAAAGAGAAAAUUAAAUGCUUGUUGUGCUAGAUUCAGUCAAGAAAAGCUCCGUUCAAGUUGGUUGGCGGAGAUUUAUUAGCGUUCGGAUGUUAUAAUAAUUAAUUCAAUUUCUCUCUUGAAAACAUUUCCAUAUGAUAGUUUCACCCCUGUUGAAUAAUCCGCACACCUGGUUGUAAUUUUUUUUUGUUUUACGAUUUUGUGAAAUUCAAGAUGCUGUAACUUACAGGAACAACGAAUGUUCUCGUUUAAAUCAGGGCCUAACUUAUAUGAUCUUUGGGCCCGGAGACGCAGUCAAUAAUGCUGCCGUGAUAGCGAGGAGAGCCGUAACUGCAAAAAUGAAGUUCUGAGAAAACGGGCUCAGAAGCUUCUGACCGGAACACUUUAUUGAAAGGAGCCUCCGUUCUUUGUCAAAUUGCCACCGUUCGUCCGGAAGACUCCUAGAAAUCAUUUGGGGGAUUGAAACUCGACCGAUUUCAUUUUAAAGUACAUGAACAAGGUAAAAUUCAGUUUCGUGUUAGGUUAUUGUUAGGUAAGACAGCCGUAAGUGCUAUCUUCUGCAUGCUUUCGUGGUUGCGUUUUGGACGCACAACAAACACAUUUUCAGGUUAGAAAUUGGCAGAAGAGGGCGGCACUUUACUGGAAAGCACUGUUUUCAUUGGCUCUCAUGCACCUACGGCUGUCUUGAAAACAAACUAUAGUCAUUUUUUGUGCACUUACGGGUUUCUCAUACGUCUCGUUUUCGUGAAAUUAGGAUGAAUUUUGCUGUUUUCGCUGUCUCAGUAAUUUCAUCUAAAAGAGUUUAGACGAAUUUUGAAGAAAACUCGAUUUCGAAAAUUUUGCACUUACGGCUCUCUUCGCUAUCACGGCAGAAUGGAAGACCCCUGUGAGCAUAUACCUCGUGGAAGAGAGGGGGACGAAGUGGCAAAUUUUGCCACCGAUUGACGGGCACCUCAAAAGGGAGGCGAUAUGCCGAUUUGAGAGUCAGGUCUUUGGCGCCUCGAUCCGAUCGAUAUGGAAGUCGUAGAUGUUUCCUUAUAAGAUGUUCCGUUUUGUGGCGCUCAUCUCAGAACAAUAGUCCGCGGAUUUUUCUUCAUUCCUCUUUGUCUCUAGUCGAUAAUUCUGAAAUUUUAGCAUCAUAGCUGAAGUGUAUUCAUUUCCCCCAAAGCGAUAAACAUUUCCGAAGGAAUUAAAUUGGUUUAAAUGGACCACUAGACAGGGUACGAAUUUAAGCAUUCUGAUGCAUGUUUCUUAACCAGAAUUUCACGUAGAACACGAUUCACACAAUGAAAAUUACCGAAAUCAACUCCUAACGAAGAUAUUAACGUUUUUAUUUCACAUUGGUUACGAGGAAUUUGAACUGCCCGCUCUCAAAAAACUCAAAGCUCAACGUGAGUCAAAUCGCGCACUACAACGGUUUCAGCAAGCUUCUCAAUCGAGCAAUGUUCAUUUCACACCAUGUGUUGUUCAAACUAUAAGCAAUUUGCUAUAGCUGGGCCAAAGCGUCAAAAUUGAGGUUGCCAGAUUUUUAAAUUGCAGAUACUGUCAUGAUAACGUUUAGCGCGCGAUGUGAAUCACGUAGAGCAUAGAGUUUUCAUGAGCGGGUGGUUUGAAUUUACGCAUCAAGAAUCAUUUAAUAUCUUUGUAAGGAGUUGAUAUCGGCAAUUUUCGUUGUGCGCAUCGUGUUCUACGUAAAAUUUUGGUUAAGAAACAUGUAUCAGAAUGCUAAAAUUCGUACUUUGUCCAGUGAUCCAUUCUGAAAUUUUAGUAUCAUAGCUGAAGUGUACUCGUAUUCAUUUCCCCUAAAGCGAUAAACAUUUCCGAAGGAAUUAAAUUGGUUUAAAUUGGGAGAAAUUAGGGGAAUCCACGGAAUAGCGUUUAUCGGCCAAAGAAUGCACCCAAUUAAUUCCAAACCUAAUCAUUUCUUAAGAAGACAUUUAGAAGACCAUUUUAAAUGAGAAAAUUACAUUUUAGACCCAGUGAUGAAGUUAGAGCGGGUAGGUGGCAACUUUCUUACCAUGUAGGUGCAGAAAAAUCUAACUUGCAAUUACAACUGCUCGAUUACCACCGUUCCUAAGUUAAAAGUGGCAUUUUCUCGUUCAAAAUAGGCUCCUGGGUGUCUUCUCGGAAGAUGGUCAAGUUUGAAAUUAUUUGGGCGCACUUUACAGCUAAAAAACACGGUUUCGGUGUUCGACCUAUUUCUAUCCAUUCUCGAAGCAAAGUAAUUUCUUUCGAAAUUUUAAACCCUUUAGGGGGAAGUAUAGACUUCAGUUAUGAUGCUGAGACUUCAGAAUUAUCUUUCGGGGACGAGAAGGAAUGGGAAAAAGGUCGGGGAGCAAGGUUUUGAAAUGAUCGCUUCAAAGACGGCGUAUCCUAACGUCUCCAGGUUUACCUAAUAUCACGUGAAAUUAGCCCUCCCAACCCACAUUUUAAGUAGUUUUAGCUUCAGGUUUGUAAAGUAUUUGAGUGUCUGAAAAUGUACAGUUUCACCAAUGUAUUGUGAUUUCUUUUAAUUCAAGUGAGCAUUUUCAGUUUGGUACAAUGCCAAGACAGUGCAAUGACAAGGAUAUGAUAUCCCACGAGGGGGGAACCAAAAAAAUUGGAAUUUUACUGUAAUUUGACAUCGAUGAGAAAUAUUGCUAGAAGAUGUAACUAAGAGCUAUGAAGAGUCAUUAGGCCAAAUUUCGACAUCUUAGCACAUUUUCUUUCAUUUUGGCGAGACUUGGCUUUAAGGGUGUUUGGCGACUUCGUCGUUUUUAAAGACGCAUAGGUCAAUUUCAGUAACAAUAUUUAGCGUUCGAUUUUUUUUCUCUUGCUCGAUAAAAAUACGGUUUCCUCUGUUAAUAUUUUGAAGUGCUGCUUCUAAAGGACGAAUCUUAUCAAUCACUUCGGUUAAAGUACGAUUUCUCGGUUUAAAAAUAUAAUCGGUUGUUUCGCUCGAAACUCCUGCAUGGCUCUUGACCGCCAUCGCCAUCGGCUAGAACCGAUGAAGACAUGCAAAAUGAAACAAAAUGUACUCCGACGUUGAAAUUUGGCUUAGUGUCACUUCAUAGCUUCUAGUUACGCAUGUCUUUGAGUUACACCUUUUAGCGGUGGAACCUGGAUAUUUUCCACACUUGCCAGGUUACAGCGAAAUUCUGUUUCUCUUUGGGUCCUCCUUCGUGCGUACGAUCAGAGCCAUCAAUGGGCCUGUUGCAAACUUUUGCUAGAGCAAAAAUAAGAGUUGUUCCUUAUAGAUUAUGCCUCAAAAAUCACGAUGAGCACAUUGGCAAAGUCUGAAAUGCACUCAUAAUUUCACAAUCUGCGUAAGAAAUUUGCGGUUUUUUUAGCUUCCCGCUUCAAAAACGAUACUACGGCACAGGUGAACAUUUUGUUAGAGGAGUCGUUCCAUCGUCGGCAAUACUCAUCAUGGCCGACGACAAUCCGCCAAAACACCUGUGAUGGGACGAGAUAACACCUGAACAGGAUUAGACCAGAUAACAAUUGGCGUGUUUACGUUCAUAUUUUCCUCGCCCGCCUUGAUUGACCUUGAACUCUCCUCGAAUUACGCGCGGAACUGCGCAAGCGUCGGCCAUGAUGAAUAUUGCCGACGAUGGAGCGACUCUUCUAACAAAAUGUUCACCUGUGCCGUAGUAUCGUUUUUGAAGCGGGAAGCUCAAAAAAACGCAAUUUUCUUACGCAGAUUGUAAAGUUAUGAGUGCAUUUCAGACUUUGCCAAUGCGCUCAUCGUGAUUUUUGAGGCAUUAUCUAUAGGAAACAACUCUUAUUUUUGCUCUAGCAAAAGUUUGCAACAGGCCCAUUUUGCGGUGGAUUUGUAGGAAAGUACGUUCCAAUCGAAAAGUAUCGUGCGAGGAAAAUGCAUCGUGUUCGGUUCCGAGAAAAAAAGAAAAAAAGAAACCAAAAAAUACAUAUUUUAAGAAAGCAAAUGUGCAGCAAGUUCGUAAGGCAGAA
rnacentral:lncRNA from 1 species